rnacentral:misc_RNA from 1 species
AACCUAGCACACCUGCGGUGUGUACCUGCGGAGGGAUCACUAACGAGUUACCACUCUAUAACCCUUUGUGAACAUACCUACAUGUUGCUUCGGCGGUCGGCCCCCCCGGGCCCCCGGCCCCGCUCACGCGGGGCGUCCGCCGGAGGAUAACCAAACUCUGAUUUAACGACGUUUCUUCUGAGUGGCACAAGCAAAUAAUCAAAACUUUUAACAAUGGAUCU